CCCCUUUUGACCAGAGGGUUUGCAUAGCAGCUAGAUCCCCAGUCCUGAAUGAGUUGUAAAAUUGAGCAUUUGCUGCUAGUACAGAAGCCUUGCUAUCUUCCUGGAGAUUACGAAGGCUAUCCCUGAUUUUUGCUGCUUGGGCAUAGUUCUCUUCGUCGAUGGCAUUCUGUAGUUCCUGCUCUAAGGUCUGCUUAUUUAUUAUAAUGCUUUCACCACUUAAAGUCCCCUCUGAAUCCUCACUCUUAACUUGACAUGGUUUCACCAGGUAUGAAUGGGAAGCUUGCCCAGGGAAUGCUGCACUGAAAAAUUCUAAAUUAGAGACCAGCUCACAGUUGCACAUGAAUUUGUUUUUCCUCACGAGUAAAUAUUGAAUAUACGUGUACUCCUUUAAUGAUAUUAUG
rnacentral:lncRNA from 1 species